AGCUUCUAGAAAUUAUUAGAAGUGACGUCUGCCCGGUGACUAAAAGUUUAACGGCCGCGUUAAGUGCUAAGGUAGCAUAAUCAUUUGUCUUUUCAUUGGAGACUGGAAUGAAUGGAAUAACGAAGCUCAGCUGUCUCUACUUACAAAGUAAAAAUUGAUUUGAAGAUGAAAAAUUCUUCAUUGUUGUGUAGGACGAAAAGACCCUAUAGAGUUUUAGUGUAUACUAUCAAUUUAAUUCAAAUAAUAUGAACUUAUUAGAUAGCUCGCACUUUUAUUGGGGCAAUAAAAGAAAUUAAAAUUCUUUGAAUAGAAUAUUAUAAUAGUGAUAAAUUUUGAUCCUCUAAGAGAAAUAAGAAAAACUACCUUAGGGAUAACAGCGUAAUUUUACCAGAGAGAUCUAAUCGAAGGUAAGGUUUGCGACCUCGAUGUUGGACUAAGAAAACUUUAAAGUGCAGAAGCUUUAAUAAGUAGGCCUGUUCGGCCUUUAAUAUCUUACAUG
rnacentral:rRNA from 1 species